ACACCUGCUGGUCUCACCGCUAGGGCCUGGGCAUCACAGGCAGGGGGAAUGGGGAGGGGACGGUAGCGUCAGCCUACACCCACACGCAGUUUCCUGAUAAAAGGUCCUUUGGAAACUUUGAUUCUCUUCUCACCAAGUUGAACGGAGAUGUGUUCCCAUAGUAAGAGUGAGGCCCCUGCAUUUGCUGCCCUCGGUUUUCCCAACUAACACCAGGGCCUCCCCCCUGUACCCCAUUCAUAUGCCUCAGAAGCUGACAAUGACUGUUGGGCUUUUCCAAUGAAUACCAGAACACCAUUUCCUGCAGCCUGAAAAGAAGACAGUAUAAUUGUUUGGCAGCAAGAGGUGAGCAUGGGCCAAGCAGGAAACUAGAGAUAUGGUGACGGUAGUGGUCCCAGGGAGGAGCUUUAACCUGAGCACCACCCACAGAAGGCAGACCACCCUCCCAGCCGCAGUGCAAAUGAAUGUUGGCCCCCACCCAGGUCCCCAAGUGCUUUCCCAGUCACGCCCCAGCUGCCAGGUUUUUUUCUCCAGGCCUACUACAGAUGGGUUACCCUGACUCCACCCCCAACACCCUCCAAUGAUUAGAACCACUGACUCCUCCCUCCCAUGCCUGCCUCCAUGGCAGGCCCCUGCAGAAACCAAACAUAGUCACCUUAGACUCUGGCAUACUGAGACCAGGGCUUGAUCCUGGCCCCCUUGCCUCCCUGGCAAUUUAUCAUUUAAUAAAAAUAUUGUUAAAAAA
rnacentral:lncRNA from 1 species